rnacentral:lncRNA from 1 species
AUGGUCUUGAUGUCCUGACCUCGUGACCCGCCCGCCUCGGCCUCCCAAAGUGCGAAUGAAAGCUUUAAGAGGGCUGCUUGUUUCUGGCAGCUCUCAGGUUCUUCCUGUCUGCCUCAGAAGUGGCAUAUUCCACAUACGGGCUGCAUCUUCAGUCUGGACUCAUCCUCUUCAAGAUGAGACAGGUGGAGCAGAGCUGCCACCAACCUCCGGUGAUUUCCACACAAUGUGUCCUAGAAGAAGAGACCCUACACUGGGCUUGUGACCAGCGGAAACUGAAUCAAUGCUGGAGACACAUUCUAACAGUCGAAUGGGCAGCUCACAGGAGGGUCACUGGCCGCUGUGUGGAAAAGAGAAUGUGGGCUCACCAGAGUGAAUGCAAG